rnacentral:sRNA from 1 species
CCUCACUGGACGGGCGAACGACAGAGGA